AUGAGGAGGUCGGUUACCUAUUAAGAUGUCCAUGGUCGUCACGUUUAGUUACUAGUAUUUUUUCUCUUUUGUUUCUGUUUUUUGUGCAUUUUCCAUUUGAGUUUUCUAUUGUUGAGCCUCAGAUAUUUGGUAGACGCUUAAUGGUGGAAUGAUUGGACCGGAUUUAGGGUUGUGUUCUCAGAUUGGCGGGCAGUUACACUGGUUGUUGUUUUUUAACGAAGGGCUAUGAGUGCGCUGGUGUCAGUGUAGAUACAUAUGUAUGCGUACAUGUGGUUUUUGUUGUUCUUCUACUUAUAGAUCGCUAAAAUCUGAGUUUGAGAAAUGCGGGACCAUCCAUGUCCGAAUAUAACUGACGCAUUUUGUAGCUAGAACACGUUUUUCCUACAAUUAUCCCGCUCCUCUUAGAAAAAUUCUGCUUUCACUCCAACUCUUCAUCAUUUUAUAAGAAUUUGUCUACCAUUACCACACCCACACACAAACAUUACGGCUAGUAGUUUAUUAGUCAAAUUUCCAUGGCCACACAUUUUGUCUUUUUCUCGUUUUCUUAUUGUGUUUUCUGUCACUGUGAAAGUGACGGAGAAAAAGGAGUUUGGAAUCAGAUUUGCAAAACGGGCUGUAUCAAUAAUACUGUCAUUCCUAAUGUCUGAUUCAUCGUCAACUCUGUAAAAAGAGAACAAGAAAGGDAAAAUUGAUGGGCAAAAGUAUAUAUAGAAAUGGUUUAUUCCCGUUUUUUCCAUUUCUCAGUAGAUUUUUCCCUUUUGCGAGAAUAAAUUGACACUUGAACAAAAAGCUUCGAAGAAAAAUCUAUUCACUGAACUUAUAUAUAGAAAAAUCAAAUGUGCUAAGUAUAUUUAAAAUGGAAACAAAUAGGGGGAAAGAGAUAGGUAGAUAAACAGCCCAAGGGACAAGGACACCCUUCCUCAGGCACUGAAUAUAUUGGAGAGUGGACAGUAACAGAGAAAUGAUACAAGAUGGAAAGCCAUAAAUUGAGAUUUUCUUGAAUGGGUUCAUUUAGAUAUUUCUCUUUAGCCAUUUUUGAUAAUCAAUACAGUAUUCUUGUUCCCAUCCUUGUCAGAUUAAGGAAGGAACAUUAAUUCCAAACAGGAAAAACUGUGUGUUCACUUCGUGGGUUUGCGUGUUGUACAUUUCCUUCAUCCGUGUUGGCGGUUACUUUCCUCAAUAUACCUUCAGUGCAUACAAAUUUUUGGAACAAUU
rnacentral:telomerase_RNA from 1 species